rnacentral:rRNA from 1 species
UACGUAGGGUGCGAGCGUUGUCCGGAAUUACUGGGCGUAAGGAGCUCGUAGGUGGUUUGUCGCGUUGUUCGUGAAAUCUCAUGGCUUAACUGUGAGCGUGCGGGCGAUACGGGCAGACUAGAGUACUGCAGGGGAGACUGGAAUUCCUGGUGUAGCGGUGGAAUGCGCAGAUAUCAGGAGGAACACCGGUGGCGAAGGCGGGUCUCUGGGCAGUAACUGACGCUGAGGAGCGAAAGCGUGGGGAGCGAACAGG